CUUGCUGAUGCGGCUCUUCCAAUGCCUGACCAUAUGCCUGAAGAUGAUCACUUUUGGUAUGAUAAGGAACAUCCUGUGAUAGAGGAAGGUUCUUUGUUUCGUUCGAUGAAAGAGUUUAGGAUGCUUAUAAGAACAUUUGCUAUUAGAGGUAAGUUUGACAUUAAGACCAAGGAUAGUGACACUACUAGAUAUGUGGGUCACUGUAAAGGAAAUGGACGCCCUUGGCGUAUAAUUGCUAGAACGAUAGAAGAUGGCAAAACAGUCAGGGUUAACAAGAUAGUAAAGCCUCAUAAGUGUUCAUCAACCGCUAAAGUGAUUACAAGCAUGGCAGACCAAGCAUGGGUGGCAGAAAAGGCAAUUGGGUAUCUUCAAAGUGAACCAAACAUUGGUGGCAUGGAGCUCCUAAAAAAGCUACAAGCAGAGUACAAAUGUACUAUUGGGUAUGAUACUGUUCAAAAGGGAAAAGAAAGGGCCGCAAAUAUGUUAUAU
rnacentral:rRNA from 1 species